rnacentral:rRNA from 1 species
UACGAAGGGGGCUAGCGUUGUUCGGAAUUACUGGGCGUAAAGCGCUCGCAGGCGGAUCGAUAAGUCAGGGGUGAAAUCCCGGGGCUCAACCUCGGAAUUGCCUUUGAUACUGUCAAUCUCGAGUCCGGGAGAGGUGAGUGGAAUUCCUAGUGUAGAGGUGAAAUUCGUAGAUAUUAGGAAGAACACCAGUGGCGAAGGCGGCUCACUGGCCCGGAACUGACGCUCAUGAGCGAAAGCGUGGGGAGCAAACAGGG